AAGUGCUGAAAGCAUCUAAGCAUGAAGCCCCCCUCAAGAUGAGAUUUCCCAACUUCGGUUAUAAGAUCCCUCAAAGAUGAUGAGGUUAAUAGGUUCGAGGUGGAAGCGUAGUGAUACGUGGAGCUGACGAAUACUAAUCGAUCGAAGACUUAAUCAA
rnacentral:rRNA from 1 species